CCUACGGGUGGCAGCAGUGAGGAAUAUUGGUCAAUGGGCUUACGCCUGAACCAGCCAAGUCGCGUGAGGGAAGACUGCCCUAUGGGUUGUAAACCUCUUUUGUCAGGGAGCAAUUGGCGCUACGUGUAGCGUUAUCGAGAGUACCUGACCAAGAAGCCCCGGCUAACUACGUGCCAGCAGCCGCGGUAAUACGUAGGGGGCAAGCGUUAUCCGGAUUUACUGGGUGUAAAGGGGGCGCAGACGGCAAUGCAAGCCAGGAGUGAAAGUCCGGGGCCCAACCCCGGGACUGCUCUUGGAACUGCAUGGCUGGAGUACAGGAGGGGCAGGCGGAAUUCCUAGUGUAGCGGUGAAAUGCGUAGAUAUUAGGAGGAACACCGGUGGCGAAGGCGGCCUGCUGGACUGUGACUGACGUUGAGGCCCGAAGGCGUGGGGAGCAAACAGGAUUAGAUACCCUUGUAGUC
rnacentral:rRNA from 1 species